rnacentral:rRNA from 1 species
GAUGAACGCUGGCGGCGUGCCUAAUACAUGCAAGUCGAGCGAACGGACGAGAAGCUUGCUUCUCUGAUGUUAGCGGCGGACGGGUGAGCAGCACGUGGAUAACCUACCUAUAAGACUGGGAUAACUUCGGGAAACCGGAGCUAAUACCGGAUAAUAUUUUGAACCGCAUGGUUCAAAAGUGAAAGACGGUCUUGCUGUCACUUAUAGAUGGAUCCGCGCUGCAUUAGCUAGUUGGUAAGGUAACGGCUUACCGAGGCAACGAUGCAUAGCCGACCUAAGAGGGUGAUCGGCCACACUGGAACUGAGACACGGUCCAGACUCCUACGGGAGGCAGCAGUAGGGAAUCUUCCGCAAUGGGCGAAAGCCUGACGGAGCAACGCCGCGUGAGUGAUGAAGGUCUUCGGAUCGUAAAACUCUGUUAUUAGGGAAGAACAUAUGUGUAAGUAACUGUGCACAUCUUGACGGUACCUAAUCAGAAAGCCACGGCUAACUACGUG